rnacentral:rRNA from 1 species
AUUGAACGCUGGCGGCAGGCCUAACACAUGCAAGUCGAGCGAGCGGCGGACGGGUGAGUAAUGUCUGGGGAUAUGCCCGAUAGAGGGGGAUAACUACUGGAAACGUUGGCUAAUACCGCAUACUAUAGGAUGAACCCAUAUGGGAUUAGCUAGUAGGUGGGGUAAAGGAUCACCUAGGCGACGAUCUCUAGCUGGUCUGAGAGGAUGAUCAGCAAAACUGGGACUGAGAAACGGCCCAGAGUCAUACGGGAGGAAGCAGUGGGGAAUAUUGCACAAUGGGCGCAAGACUGAUGCAGCCAUGCCGCGUGUAUGAAGAAGGCCUUAGGGUUGUAAAGUACUUUCAGCGGGGAGGCGUUACCCGCAGAAGAAGCACCGGCUAACGCCGUGCCAGCAGCCGCGGUAAUUC